rnacentral:misc_RNA from 1 species
UUGUGGAGGAGGACGCCGAAGGUGGGGCUAAUGACUGGGGUGAAGUCGUAACAAGGUAGCCGUACCGGAAGGUGCGGCUGGAUCACCUCCUAACAGGGAGACAACAAAAUGUUUAAUAUUAUUAUUUUGUCACCUUAGGUCGAUCGGUAUCUCACAUUCUUAAUUUAUUAAGGAUUUCAUUUCCUAAGUUUUUCUAGGUCACACCCAUUAUUUUCCUGGGCCAUUAGCUCAGGUGGUUAGAGCGCACCCCUGAUAAGGGUGAGGUCCCUGGUUCAAGUCCAGGAUGGCCCAUAUCUCUAUGUUGGGGGUAUAGCUCAGUUGGUAGAGCGCCUGCUUUGCAAGCAGGAUGUCAGCGGUUCGAGUCCGCUUACCUCCACUGAUUACCACCUCUUCCAUAAUCUGUAGAAAGGGAAUUUUUUGAGUCGUGACCAAAUUCUGAAAGAAUCUAGCUUCCUAAUGAAAUCAUUAAGAUGCUGGACUCAUUGAAUUAAUUUCAUUGUUUUCAGAGAACCUUGACAACUGCAUAGACUAUUUUUUUAAAGACAAUAAGCAUCUUUUAAUGAUGCAGAUUUAUUAUUUGUGCGAAUGCAUUAAUAACAAUUCUAUUAAGCUGAUGCUUCAAUUUUGAAGUUAUUGGUCAAGCUACAA